GGUCGUACUAUAUAUUAUGUAUGAGAUAUAUUUUGCAUAAGAGAGAAAACUGCUCCAACAGAGCUGAUGUGUCAGUCCUAGUCAUGUGGACCUUGAUACUGGAGUCUGAGACAGCAGAACUAUGGGUCUAUGGGUAUGAGGUGUUUGAGAUUGUGUGUUUUUGAGUGUUGUAGUGCAGGGAUACUUUAACAUUUUCACCUUGGGACCCGAAAUACAAUCUCAGUGUGUCCCUGGAACCCAACCAACACCAAGAAUUAGUGAACCUUCCGGUCACUACAGACAGACUACUGUACAGAAGAAGCGGAGCUACAUUGAGGCUUGUCUGCAGCGUGUUGGAGUUGGAGUUGGAGUAGUUACCAGGAGCUGGAUGUCGAAGGCCAGGGCCUUAAACUGAAGACUAGAGGAGUUCUUCAAGUCGUCAGUGAAGAUGACUCCUUCUGUGAUCGUCAAGCGACCCUCCAACGGCGAUCUAUCUGAAGACCACCAGGGAGAAACCUUCCUCGUCAUCGUUCUAUUCACCAGGCUGAGCCAGGACACAGCCAGGAGUCCAACACACAGGAGGAGGAGAAGAAAACACAAGACGAACAGGAGAACCUCUGACCACGAUCUCCUCAUGGUGCUGCCCUAAACCCAGGACAGAGCGUCACCAUCUAACCCCAGCAUACACAUGAAUAUUACCACCUAACCCCAGCAUUAAAAUACCUAUGAGGACCUCAUCCCAGGAUAGAACGUUACUAUACCAACUAGCCCCAGAGUAGAACAUGACUCUUAUCACCACUACGUUAAUCUCUUGAAGGAUAACUAAUGUAUGAUUUAAUACAUUUCUCACUUUAUAUUUAAGUGAUUUAAAGUUGAAUCAGGGAUAAGUCUUUAAUUACUCACAGAGGAACCUAUAAAGUACGAUCCCUUCAGCUGCUUAGAUGUUUCCUCGGAUGUGGUCCUUACGUUUACCUUCCUCUGUGGUCUCCAGGACAUUCAGGUGUAUUAGUGGAACGCUUCCUUAAGACUUAGAGAGAUAAAACAGCUAAUGAGCCAAACUCACAUGGCUAUAAGGCUUUAAUCAGCGUCUCAAGUCCAAAACAGAAGAGAUAUGUCUUUCACUCUAUAGCUCAAAGGUCACCAGGAUCAACCUGUAACCUUACAGCCUACUGACUACACUCCGCUAGAACUGACACCCAGCACUGAUACUUUUAUUUUUAUCACUGAGGCCCAGUAUGCAUAUUUUACAUUCAGUAUGUUUCAGGCCGACCAGGAAACAAACCAUUAUAUACCUGCCUCAUCUAAUCGAAUAAACACAGAUACUGUACAACCAUUAUUAAGAAUAUAAACACAAUUUUAUUAAUAGACAGUAACAGUAUAAUAGUCAAACAACACGACUAUGAUACACUGAAACAUCAAUGCAAUAAAAAAUUAAAGAUGAGCUUAUUCAUCAUCUGUUAGCAGUUUUCAAGUAUGCAAUAAGCGUAUAAAAAUAAUGCUUGAUUUCUUAAUCUCUGUGGCCCUGUGGCCUUAGCAGCCCGGUAUUGGUCCGCGGCCCGGUGGUUGAGAACCUCUGCCAUAGACCCAGUACUGAUAGUGUACUCUAGUCACAGUAAUGAUACCACCCUAGACAGUAAUGAUACUUUUCCCUAGACCCAGUUCUCACACUUUACCUUAGACCCACUUGGUCUAGUAUGGAUUUUAAAUGUUUAAUAAAAACUUUGCAACAUUA